rnacentral:rRNA from 1 species
CAAUAGCGUAUAUUUAAGUUGCUGCAGUUAAAAAGCUCGUAGUCGGAUUUUGGCUGAGAACGAUCGGUCCGCCGUUAGGUGUGCACUGAUUGGUCUCAGCUUCCUGGUGAGGAGGUGUGCUUCACGGCCACUUAGUCACCGUGGUUACUUUGAAAAAAUUAGAGUGUUCAAAGCGGGCUUACGCUUGAAUAUAUUAGCAUGGAAUAACACCAUAGGACUCCUGUCCUAUUUCGUUGGUCUCGGGACGGGAGUAAUGAUUAAGAGGAACAGUUGGGGGCAUUCGUAUUUCAUUGUCAGAGGUGAAAUUCUUGGAUUUAUGAAAGACGAACUUCUGCGAAAGCAUUUGCCAAGGAUGUUUUCAUUGA